rnacentral:rRNA from 1 species
GGUAGAGUAGCAAUACUUGAGAGUGGCGAACGGGUGAGUAAUAUAUCGGAACGUGCCCAGUCGUGGGGGAUAACGUAGAGAAAUUUACGCUAAUACCGCAUACGAUCUAAGGAUGAAAGCGGGGGACUUGCAAGAGCCUCGCGCGAUUGGAGCGGCUGAUAUCAGAUUAGCUUGUUGGUGAGGUAAAAGCUCACCAAGGCGACGAUCUGUAGCUGGUUUGAGAGAACGACCAGCCACACUGGGACUGAGACACGGCCCAGACUCCUACGGGAGGCAGCAGUGGGGAAUUUUGGACAAUGGGCGAAAGCCUGAUCCAGCAAUGCCGCGUGCAGGAAGAAGGCCUUCGGGUUGUAAACUGCUUUUGUACGGAACGAAACGGUCUGCUUUAAUACAGUGGGCUAAUGACGGUACCGUAAGAAUAAGCACCGGCUAACUACGUGCCAGCAGCCGCGGUAAUACGUAGGGUGCGAGCGUUAAUCGGAAUUACUGGGCGUAAAGCGUGCGCAGGCGGUUAUAUAAGACAGUUGUGAAAUCCCCGGGCUCAACCUGGGAAUUGCAUCUGUGACUGUAUAGCUAGAGUACGGUAGAGGGGGAUGGAAUUCCGCGUGUAGCAGUGAAAUGCGUAGAUAUGCGGAGGAACACCGAUGGCGAANGCAAUCCCCUGGACCUGUACUGACGCUCAUGCACGAAAGCGUGGGGAGCAAACAGGAUUAGAUACCCUGNUAGUCCACGCCCUAAACGAUGUCAACUGGUUGUUGGGUGCAUUAGUACUCAGUAACGAAGCUAACGCGUGAAGUUGACCGCCUGGGGAGUACGGCCGCAAGGUUGAAACUCANNGAAUUGACGGGGACCCGCACAAGCGGUGGAUGAUGUGGUUUAAUUCGAUGCAACGCGAAAAACCUUACCUACCUUUGANNUGUACGGAAUUCNCCAGAGAUGGCUUANNGCUCNAANANNNCCGUA